GGCUGCUGCUGCGUCCGACCCCCGGCCGGCGCGGGUAUGGAGCUUGGGGGUCACUGGGACAUGAACUCGGCCCCGAGGCUGGUCUCGGAGACCGCAGAGCGGAAACAGGAGCAGAAGACAGGAACCGAGGCGGAGGCUGCCGACUCCGGUGCCGUCGGAGCCCGCCGCUUCCUGCUCUGUCUCUACUUGGUGGGCUUCUUGGUGAGUGCGAGCGUGGGGGCUGGGAGCAAGUGCUGACUGUGUUCGGGCCUGGGGACCCAGGCGGUUCUUGGAGCUUCCGGGGAGCUCCCAGGGAGUGGGAACCCGCAGUCCGCCUGGAUUUGUUUGGUGUCAGCAUGGUUGUGCCUUUAUUGAGCCUUCAUGUCAAGUCCCUUGGAGCAAGUCCAACAGUUGCUGGAAUAGUAGACGACGUAUGUUCAAAGAGAUUUUGAGAUUUGAGCACUAUAACCAAGUCCCAUGCCACUAGUGGCAACAGGUACUUAUGGAGCCUCUGCAAGGAGCUGGCUGUGUGUAUAAAAGGGCUCCUCCUAUGGCAUUUUGCAACUCUUUUCUAGCACAUUGGUGGGCUGCUGGAGCGAUGUAGUGGGAAGACGGUCUUCCUUGCUGGCAUGCAUUCUACUCAGUGCUCUGGGCUAUCUCCUUCUCGGAGCAGCCACCAAUGUGUUUCUGUUUGUCCUGGCUAGAGUCCCGGCAGGUAUUUUUAAACACACUCUCUCCAUCUCAAGGGCUCUACUUUCUGAUGUGGUUCCAGAGAAGGAACGGCCGCUUGUAAUCGGACACUUCAACACAGCCUCCGGUGUGGGCUUCAUCUUGGGCCCCGUGGUCGGUGGCUAUCUCACUGAAUUAGAGGAUGGGUUUUAUCUCACAGCCUUCAUCUGCUUUUUGGUCUUCAUUCUCAAUGCUGGUCUCGUUUGGUUCUUUCCAUGGAGGGAAGCAAAACCGGGCAGUACAGAGAAGGGCCUGCCAUUGCGAAAGACCCAUGUGCUGUUGGGAAGGAGCCAUGACACAGUGCAGGAGGCAGCCACCAGCCGCAGAGCCAGGGCCAGCAAGAAGACUGCCCAGCCCUGGGUCGAAGUAGUGUUGGCCUUGCGGAACAUGAAGAACCUGC
rnacentral:lncRNA from 10 species